rnacentral:rRNA from 1 species
GACGUAGGGCGCGAGCGUUGUCCGGAUUUAUUGGGCGUAAAGAGCUCGUAGGCGGCUUGUUGCGUCGACCGUGAAAACCCGGGGCUUAACUUCGGGCUUGCGAUCGAUACGGGCAGGCUAGAGUUCGGUAGGGGAGACUGGAAUUCCUGGUGUAGCGGUGAAAUGCGCAGAUAUCAGGAGGAACACCGGUGGCGAAGGCGGGUCUCUGGGCCGAUGCUGACGCUGAGGAGCGAAAGCGUGGGGAGCGAACAGG